rnacentral:rRNA from 1 species
AAUAGAUACCCUGGUAGUCCUGGCCGUAAACGAUGUCGACUAGAUCGUGGUGGCUCUGACGCCUUCACGGUCGAAGCAAAAGUGCUAAGUCGACCGCCUGGGAAGUACGGUCGCAAGGCUAAAACUCAAAGGAAUUGACGGGGGCUCACACAAGCGGUGGAGCAUGUGGUUCAAUUCGAAGCAACGCGCAGAACCUUACCUGGGCUUGACAUGCCAGGAUUAUCCCCAUGAAAGUGGGGUAGGCCCUUCGGGGUACAACUGGUACAGGUGCUGCAUGGCUGUCGUCAGCUCGUGUCGUGAGAUGUCGGGUUAAGUCCCUUAACGAGCGAAACCUUUGCCCUUAGUUACCAUCGGGUUAUGCCGGGGACUCUAAGGGGACUGCCGGUGUCAAACCGGAGGAAGGUGGAGAUGACGUCAAGUCCUCAUGGCCUUUAUGCCCAGGGCCACACACGUGCUACAAUGGCGUCCACAAAGCGAACCGAGAGCGCAAGCUGGAGGAAAUCGCACAAAUGACGCCCCAGUUCAGA